rnacentral:sRNA from 1 species
CAAUACAAAUUAAAAAGGUAUAUUACACUUUAUUCAAAUAUAGUAUCAAAACUUAUAUAACACAGAGAUUUGAUAAUUUUUUAAUUGUUGAAUACUUUUUUUUGUGCUAAUUUUUAUGUGAUUAAGAUUUAAUUGAUUUCAUAUAUAAAAUAUUAAAUUGACUUAUUUGUUUAUAAUUUGGUAACAGAUAGAUAUUUGAAUAUUCAGUAUAUUUUGGUUCAGUUUAGGAAAUCUUUGAUGACCCGUCUUUAGAUCCAAUAAGUCCUAUAAUCUAGAGAUUAAUCUGCAGUAUACCGUAGGUAUGCUUAUAUUUUAGUUAAACUAAAAACUUUUAUUGUAAAGAUGAUUUAAAAAUAUAUGAUAUUAUUUGAUUUGAUUUUAAAUGUAUAGUAAACUGUGAGUUGUAUAUGUUUUGUUGAUAUUAUCUAUAUUGUUUAGUGUUUAAGAUUAUACACUUGUAGUUUGAUUGUUAAUUUAAGAGUUUCACAUGUAGUAUACCAUCUUAUAUUAAUAUCGAUCUAAACCCGUCAAUUCUAGGAUUUUCCAGCUUGUAUUAAAAAUUGAAUCACAUCUAAUAUGUUAUUAACUAUUGUAGCAUAUAAAAUUAUAAAUUUUCAAUAUAAUAUGUAUGAAAUUGAAUAUAAAUAUUUCAAAUUUAUGUCCCGUUACUCAGUAGAAAGUUUUCUUAAAUCUAUUUUUCACCCGUUAUAAUAUUAUUUCAUGUAUUGAACAGUUAUAUUCGCUUUUAAAAAUUCAAAUUAUGGCAUAUGCGAAAAAACUCUAAUUAUUUUUUUAUAAUGAUGAUAUUAUGUUUCCGUAAAAAUAGAAUCAUAUAAAGAUGAGAAGUGAACUAUAAUAAUUAAUAAAAAAUUAAUUACAAAAAUUAAAGUUACAUUUAAAAUGUACUUCCUAAAUAAUAUAGUAGGAUAAACACUAAAUGUUGGCUCUAGUACUUCGUUUGAAGUUUUCUGACCGAAUUUCUCUUUUAUUUGGUGUGAGUUU